UGGGGAAUCUUCCGCAAUGGGCGAAAGCCUGACGGAGCAAUGCCGCGUGAGUGACGAAGGCCUUCGGGUUGUAAAGCUCUGUCUUCAGGGACGAAAAAAAUGACGGUACCUGAGGAGGAAGCCACGGCUCACUACGUGCCAGCAACCGCGGUAAUACGUAGGUGGCAAGCGUUGUCCGGAAUUACUGGGCGUAAAGGGCGUGUAGGUGGACUGAUCAGUCGGAUGUGAAAUAUCCAGGCUUAACCUGGGGGCUGCAUUCGAUACGGUCAGUCUUGAGUGCAGGAGAGGGCAGUGGAAUUCCCAGUGUAGCGGUGAAAUGCGUAGAUAUUGGGAGGAACACCAGUGGCGAAGGCGGCUGCCUGGACUGUAACUGACACUGAGGCGCGAAAGCGUGGGGAGCAAACAG
rnacentral:rRNA from 1 species